UGCCUGUCGCUUCAUGGACAACAACUGGGAGUGUAAAUCCACCGUGGGUGCUGGGGGAAAGCUUGCUUCCUGCUGAGGAUGCUCCAGGUAGCCUAUGAAGCUACCAGCCUCACCAUGAGGUCAUUCCUAGGGGAUCCCUAGAGAGGCAGAACAUCAAGCGACUGAGAAAUAACAAUGGAAAAGUUUGGCCGCAUUUAACUACAGCCCUCCAGUUGUAACUGCUUCUCUCCAAAAAGUCCCUUUGGAACCCUUGAUGAUCCGGUUCAGGUGAAUGCUGUGCUGGUGGGUCCUGGGGGAAGGCAGCUUUUGCCUCGUGUGUGUGUUGCGGGGACACUCCGCCCGCUGUGACACCCUGCAAGGG